rnacentral:sRNA from 1 species
UUAACAGCCCUAGAGACUCAAGUGCUCUGUUUACUUUAGAUACACAAGUACAACACAGACAACAGUAGCACAGGCUAUUCCACACUGCCUUAUCAAUGUGCCUCAAUCCUUUUCUAGAGGGGCUGCCCCUUGGAGCCAAGGGCUAAGAUCAUUCACACCUUUCUGCUUAGUCUUUCUUAUAA